AUUCAGAUGACGAGUCCCAAAUAGAACGAAAUGCACAUCCUGGAU
rnacentral:hammerhead_ribozyme from 1 species